GGGUAGCCGGCCUGAGAGGGUGUCCGGCCACACUGGGACUGAGAUACGGCCCAGACUCCUACGGGAGGCAGCAGUGGGGAAUAUUGCACAAUGGGCGCAAGCCUGAUGCAGCGACGCCGCGUGGGGGAUGACGGCCUUCGGGUUGUAAACCUCUUUCAAUAGGGACGAAGCGUAAGUGACGGUACCUAUAGAAGAAGCACCGGCCAACUACGUGCCAGCAGCCGCGGUAAUACGUAGGGUGCGAGCGUUGUCCGGAAUUACUGGGCGUAAAGAGCUCGUAGGUGGUUUGUCGCGUUGUUCGUGAAAACCCAUGGCUUAACUGUGGGCGUGCGGGCGAUACGGGCAGACUGGAGUACUGCAGGGGAGACUGGAAUUCCUGGUGUAGCGGUGGAAUGCGCAGAUAUCAGGAGGAACACCGGUGGCGAAGGCGGGUCUCUGGGCAGUAACUGACGCUGAGGAGCGAAAGCGUGGGGAGCGAACAGGAUUAGAUACCCUGGUAGUCCACGCCGUAAACGGUGGGUACUAGGUGUGGGUUUCCUUCCUUGGGAUCCGUGCCGUAGCUAACGCAUUAAGUACCCCGCCUGGGGAGUACGGCCGCAAGGCUAAAACUCAAAGGAAUUGACGGGGGCCCGCACAAGCGGCGGAGCAUGUGGAUUAAUUCGAUGCAACGCGAAGAACCUUACCUGGGUUUGACAUGCACAGGACGCCGGUAGAGAUAUCGGUUCCCUUGUGGCCUGUGUGCAGGUGGUGCAUGGCUGUCGUCAGC
rnacentral:rRNA from 1 species